rnacentral:rRNA from 1 species
CCCAUUAUCCAAUCAACUUUGUUGUGCCCUCUACAAUGAUUCCUGGGGCAUUGAUGAUGGACACGAUACUAUUGUUGACCCGUAACUGGAUGAUCACAGCGUUGCUCGGUGGCGGAUGCUUUGGACUGUUUUUUUAUCCGGGCAACUGGCCAAUCUUUGGACCGACUCACCUUCCAUUAGUAGUAGAAGGAGUAUUACUCUCAGUAGCUGACUACACUGGAUUCCUUUAUGUUCGUACUGGUACGCCUGAGUAUGUGCGGUUAAUCGAACAAGGGUCGCUACGUACCUUUGGUGGCCACACCACGGUAAUUGCUGCGUUCUUCGCGGCUUUUGUAUCCAUGCUGAUGUUCGUUGUCUGGUGGUACUUAGGAGCGUUCUAUUGCACCGCGUUUUAUUACGUCAAGGGUCCUAGAGGACGGAUAACAGAGAAGAUGGAUGUUACCGCUUUUGGU